ACCAAUCGCGUACGACCGGAUUGGUGUGGGUCCCAAGGACCCCAACGGACCCUCAGGGGUCUUGAUCUCGCGUCACGAUCCGAUCCUGGCCUCCCCCCUCCACAAGACAACUCGACGCCGCUUCGAGGGCGCAGGUGAGGCCUCCUCAACUGAUCUCUUCGUAUUUUGAUCUCUCUUUUCUUUUUUCCGCGAGACUCGGCCUGACAGGGAUCGUCGAUCCGUUUCCUCUCUCUCCUCUUUUUGCAUCCACGCGGAUCCGUCGUUAGAUUUCGUGGAUUGUUUUUGGCCUCGAUCUUGCUAGGGUCUUCCUUUGAUUUA
rnacentral:lncRNA from 1 species